rnacentral:rRNA from 1 species
AUUGAACGCUGGCGGCAGGCUUAUCACAUGCAAGUCGAGCGAGCGGCGGACGGGUGAGUAAUGUCUGGGAAACUGCCUGAUGGAGGGGUAUAACUACUGGAAACGGUAGCUAAUACCGCAUACCAUCAGCUUUUCCCAGAUGGGAUUAGCUAGUAGGUGGGGUAAUGGCUCACCUAGGCCACGAUCCCUAUCUGGUCUGAGAGGAUGACAAGCAAAACUGUAACUGAGACACGGUCCAGACUCCGACGGGAGGCAGCAGUGGGGAAUAUGGCACAAUGGGCGAAAGCCUGAUGCAGCCAUGCCGCGUGAGUGAAGAAGGCCUUCGGGUUGUAAAGCACUGUCAGCGAGGAGGCGUUACUCGCAGAAGAAGCACCGGCGAACUCCGUGCCAGCCGCCGCGGUAAUAC